rnacentral:rRNA from 1 species
GUACGCUGGCGGCACGCCUAACACAUGCAAGUCGAACGGAGUAGCAAUACUUAGUGGCAGACGGGUGAGUAACAUGUGGGUAUCUACCCUGUGGCCUGGAAUAACACGAGGAAACUUGUGCUAAUACCAGAUAAGUCUUUACGGAGAAAGCUUUAUGCACCAUUGGAUGAGCCCGCACUUGAUUAGUUAGUUGGUAGGGUAAUGGCCUACCAAGACUUUGAUCAAUAGCUGAUUUGAGAGGAUGAUCAGCCACAUUGGGACUGAGACACGGCCCAAACUCCUACGGGAGGCAGCAGUGGGGAAUCUUGCACAAUGGAGGAAACUCUGAUGCAGCGAUGCCGCGUGAGUGAAGAAGGCCUUUGGGUUGUAAAGCUCUUUCGUCGGGGAAGAAAAUGACUGUACCCGAAUAAGAAGGUCCG